rnacentral:rRNA from 1 species
AGCAGCCGCGGUAAUUCCAGCUCCAAUAGCGUAUAUUAAAGUUGUUGCAGUUAAAAAGCUCGUAGUUGAAUUUCGGGAUUGACACAUCGGUCGUGCCUUAAGGGGUAUGAACUGGUGUAGUCAAUUUCUCACCUUCUGGAGAACCGCAAUGCCCUUAAUUGGGUGUCGCGGGGAACCAGGACCUUUACUUUGAAAAAAUUAGAGUGUUUAAAGCAGGCAUUUUGCUUGAAUACAUUAGCAUGGAAUAAUAAAAUAGGACGGAUGAUUCUAUUUUGUUGGUUUCUAGGACCACCGUAAUGAUUAAUAGGGAUAGUUGGGGGCAUUAGUAUUCAAUUGUCAGAGGUGAAAUUCUUGGAUUUAUUGAAGACUAACUACUGCGAAAGCAUUUGCCAAGGAUGUUUUCAUUAAUCAAGAACGAAAGUUAGGGGAUCGAAGACGAUCAGAUACCGUCGUAGUCUUAACCAUAAACUAUGCCGACUAGGAAUCAGACGAUGUUAAUUUUUUAAUGACUCGUUUGGCACCUUACG